CCCCGCACCGGGAGUCUUACACUUGACGGAACGUCUACGGUAUCUAUUUCUAAAGGAACGUGGUGCCAAACGGGGGAGGCGCGAGGAGUGGUACGGGUAUCCGAUUGAGGUUGUACGGCGUUGAAGAAUAAGAAUAAUAUAAGGGUCGCGGGAGCGAAUAAGAAACAUAAACCGUGUCGCGAGGCCCGAGACGGAAUACUAAACGAGGGACUGGAGACAUUAAACAGACAAAAAAAAAGAAAAAGAAAACACAAAAACUUUACUUUAAACGUCAUAAAAACGUUUAGGCGCGGCGGUUGGAAAAAAAAAAAACCGAUGACCGUUGUCGUGUCGUACGGUAGAAAACACGAGUAAUAAACCAUAUCCCAGGGAUAAUAUAAACGU